ACGCACGCUGGCGGCGUGCUUAACACCUGCCAGUCGAACGGUGAAGCGCCUUCCUUUUUGGUGGGUGUGGAUGAGUGGCGAACGGGUGAGUAACACGUGAGUAACCUGCCCCCUUCUUCUGGAUAACCGCAUGAAAGUGUGGCUAAUACGGGAUAUUCUGGGUCUGUCGCAUGAUGGGUCUGGGAAAGAUAUUGUUUCGGUGGGGGAUGGGCUCGCGGCCUAUCAGCUUGUUGGUGGGGUGAUGGCCUACCAAGGCGGUGACGGGUAGCCGGCCUGAGAGGGUGGACGGUCACACUGGGACUGAGACACGGCCCAGACUCCUACGGGAGGCAGCAGUGGGGAAUAUUGCACAAUGGGCGCAAGCCUGAUGCAGCGACGCCGCGUGAGGGAUGGAGGCCUUCGGGUUGUGAACCUCUUUCGCCAGUGAAGCAGGCCUGCCUCGUUUGUGGGUGGGUUGACGGUAGCUGGAGAAGAAGCGCCGGCUAACUACGUG
rnacentral:rRNA from 1 species